GUCAGAGUGGAUCAACGUGGGAUACAGCAGGCGCCUUCUAAGCGCUUGGCCGCAGGUUCGAGUCCUGCCGGGGCCGCCA
rnacentral:tRNA from 1 species